ACCGGCGCACGGGUGAGUAACACGUAUCCAACCUUCCGUUUACUCAGGGAUAGCCUUUCGAAAGAAAGAUUAAUACCUGAUAGUAUGGUGAGAUUGCAUGAUAGCACCAUUAAAGAUUUAUUGGUAAACGAUGGGGAUGCGUUCCAUUAGGUAGUAGGCGGGGUAACGGCCCACCUAGCCGACGAUGGAUAGGGGUUCUGAGAGGAAGGUCCCCCACAUUGGAACUGAGACACGGUCCAAACUCCUACGGGAGGCAGCAGUGAGGAAUAUUGGUCAAUGGGCGAGAGCCUGAACCAGCCAAGUAGCGUGAAGGAUGAAGGUCCUACGGAUUGUAAACUUCUUUUAUACGGGAAUAAAGUAUCCUACGUGUAGGAUUUUGUAUGUACCGUAUGAAUAAGCAUCGGCUAACUCCGUGCCAGCAGCCGCGGUAAUACGGAGGAUGCGAGCGUUAUCCGGAUUUAUUGGGUUUAAAGGGAGCGCAGACGGGAGAUUAAGUCAGUUGUGAAAGUUUGCGGCUCAACCGUAAAAUUGCAGUUGAUACUGGUUUCCUUGAGUGCAGUUGAGGCAGGCGGAAUUCGUGGUGUAGCGGUGAAAUGCUUAGAUAUCACGAAGAACCCCGAUUGCGAAGGCAGCUUGCUAAACUGUAACUGACGUUCAUGCUCGAAAGUGUGGGUAUCAAACAGGAUUAGAUACCCU
rnacentral:rRNA from 1 species